UACGUAGGGUGCAAGCGUUGUCCGGAAUUAUUGGGCGUAAAGAGCUCGUAGGCGGUUUGUUGCGUCGGCUGUGAAAUCCCGAGGCUCAACCUCGGGUCUGCAGUCGAUACGAGCAAACUAGAGUGUUGCAGGGGAGACUGGGAAUUCCUGGUGUAGCGGUGAAAUGACGCAGAUAUCAGGAGGAACACCGGUGGCGAAGGCGGGUCUCUGGGCAACAACUGACGCUGAGGAGCGAAAGCGUGGGGGAGCGAACAGG
rnacentral:rRNA from 1 species